GCUUAUCAGUAGUUGUCCGGAGAAACUCGAUGUCAAUCUCAUCAUGGUACCCGGGGUAGUCCUCAUUGUUUGAAAGCUGUCAGUAUGCAAAAUCACCAUAAAUUUUUACUUAAUAUACUAAGGUUAGUUUAGGAGUAAUAAAUUUCGUUAAAUUCUCACGUAGAAAGAUGUAAUGACUCCAGCUGUAUAACCAGGUUGGAGCUUGACGGCAGCACCAAAAUAACCAGAUCGAUAUCGGUUGAGGGAUUUGAAUCGCUGCCUGCAUGCAAUUUGUGAAAAAGAAAAUGCAAUGAUAUUACCGAUUGUGAGAGAGGCCAAAAAAGGUGGCAGCCAGAUUGUAGGUAGGACCUAAUCAUACCUGAGCUUCUAUCAAGCCAGAUUGUUAAAGAGCCUUGGUCGACCCUUUGAUUCUGAGGACCCCAAAGGGUCCUAAAGCCCUGGUUAAACCCUAGUGAAGCAACUCUUGAACUAGGGUAGUAGCCCGGGGAAGGUGGAUCGCCGCUGAGCGUUGCUUGGAGGGAGCAGGAAAACUAUGAAAAACGAGAGAAGAUCAGGGCCAUAACUCUUGAAAGAGCGCACAAAAUGCGUACGAAAAAUUGGAGCUAAUGUGCCCUGCUCAUAAUGCACGCAGAUGUAUGAAUAAAGUGUAGUGGAGAACUUAUGUGUCUGUCCU
rnacentral:lncRNA from 1 species